rnacentral:lncRNA from 1 species
UGAUGGCAUUGUGCAUGUGGUUAACUUCCAGUUCUCUUCCCCUCUUCUUAAGCAUUCUUCUUCCUCCUCUUCAACACCCUCCCCCUGCCCCCCAAUCAGUUCCAUCAGUCCAUCUCGCCUGCAUGCCUGGGGGACUGCUGCUCACUUGCCAUAGACACUCUCAUCACUGUAGGCCACAUAGAGAAAAUAGUCCUCCUCGUGGUUAUCCUCAUACAGCUGACCCAUGGUAGCACUUGUGGGAGGGAUGGUAUUAUUGACAAAGAAGAAUAGUGCGUCCUCUGGCCUCAGGUGGAUCCGCUUUCGGAUUAAGAAGUAGAACUGCCCAACUGUGAGGUCAGAAGGCACAAGAUACUUCCUUUUGUCUAGAUCAGGUACUCUGGCUUUUGGUGCUUUUUCCACAAUUACGGGGACUCUGUCGGGGUAUUUCUUCCUGAUUUUCUCGCCUUCUUUUUUCCUGUACUCGAACGGGUGGUCUUCCUUGUACUGGAACUUCAUGAUGCGACACCGCCGAGCCGGCCACUGCUCUCCCUCCGUCACCUACGACCGAGCACUCAGCAAACGCUACGACGCCCGCGCAGCGUACGCAAGCCGAGCACAGCGGAGCGCAGCUCCGUGCCGUGCCGCUGCGUGACGUCACAGCGACGUACCCUCCCCUUCCGGCACGGUCGCCAUUGCAGCGGUGUGGGAGCGCUUACACCUACAGGCUGCGCCGCUCUCGUGUGUGUCUGUGGCGGUGUGGCGGGCGGUUGUCUUUACGUUGCGUUCCUGUGCUUUUCGUUACUUUCAUAAGAAUCAUAGAACGGCCUGGGUUGAAAAGGACCACAAUGACCAUCGAGUUUCAACCCCCCUGCUACGUGCAGGGUCGCCAACCACCAGACCGGGCUGCCCAGAGCCACAUCCAGCCUGGCCUUGAAUGCCUCUAGCCGCCAAAAUAAUCAUUACAUGCGUGACUCAGGGGCUAUCCAUGCAGCUGCGUGUCCAUCCCCAUGCACCAUCCUAUGCGGUGUCCACGUGUGAGCGCCUUCACCUGUCCGAUGAGUCUGUUCUGUACGUGGUUAUGGGCUACACAGUGGAAGAAAAAGAGAAGAAAAAGGAGAAAAAAGAAGGCUGUUUUUUGUGUCUGUCCCUGUUGUUAGCAGAGCACAAUGCCACAGUGAUAAAAGCUAAGACCUCCACGCAAGGCCAAAUUGUCUCACUCUGCAAUUAGGUUGGGAUGCAACAGGCAGGCGUCAAGAUUCUCCCCUCUAUCCUCCUUAGCUUCUACAACCCAGUAUAUAUCAUUAAAAAACAGGUUAACACCCCAGUAUAUAUCACUAAAAGACAGAGGAAGACCACUGGAUGAAGCAAAAGGCUGUCGGUUGGACUGUCGUGAUGCUAAAAGGACGCUAGACGGUAGAAUAGACCAUGGAAUAGAAGACUGGAAACCUCAUCAAUCACUGUCUGAGAUAGGCGUGUGUGUUAAGUGUCUCACACAUAAUUGAUGAGGAUGUACUAUCUGUAGAAAUAUAAUGGACUCUGAAUCAUGUGGCCUUCCAGUACUUGAAGGGAGCAUAUAAACAGGAGGGGGGAAAGCUGUUUAUGAGGGUGGAUAGUGAUAGGACAAGGGCGGAUGGUUUUAAACUGGGACAGGGGAGGUUUAGGUUAGAUGUUAGGGAGAAGUUUUCCACCCAGAGGGUGGUGACGCACUGGAACAGGUUGCCCAAGGAGGUUGUGGAUGCCCCAUCCCUGGAGGCAUUCAAGGCCAGGCUGGAUGUGGCUCUGGGCAGCCCGGUCUGGUGGUUGGCGACCCUGCACAUAGCAGGGCGGUUGAAACUCGAUGGUCAUUGCGGUCCUUUUCAACCCAGGCCAUUCUGUGAUUCUAUGUAAUCUUGGAAGCACUUAUGGUGGAAAUAUCCCCAGUGCUUCCCGGUGCCUCUAAUGAAGAAUACCUGACUUAAUGCUAACAAAACUUUGCUGUUAAGUUCCUAUGCAUUGAUUUUUUCGAAUCACAGGUGUGUCACAUAAUGUCCCAGGCCAGAGGCACAUUAGAAGCAGCAUGUGGUGAAGGGAGUUGACUGCAAAGAAGCCUAAACAGCCAGCCAAUUUUUGAUGAUACACACAGGAAUUUCAUCUUUUGUUCUUUGUUUGUUUGUUUGUUUUUUGUUUGUUUGUUUGUUUCUGAGUGUGGCUAGGCUCACAAUACUGACCAGAAAAAGAGAAGGUGCUGAAGUAUGGAUCUGCAUGGUCAAAUCAGUACUGGAAAAAAAAUGCUGCUGCCCUGGGGACAUUGAACAGGAGUGCAUCAAAUAAUUAUUCCACUGCAUGAUUCAUCCAUAGAAGUGGAACUUGUCCAAGAAUGAUGUUUUAUUUGUGCAGCAGUUUUGGUAGUAGCAGUGAGUGCUGUGUGGAAUAGUAGAGUGAUUAGAACAAGGCAACACGCAAAGGCCACACCUGGAGCAGAGGUAAGAGAAUGCAGGUUCACUGUAUUUUAUUCAACCCUGUGCUAGCCUGUUGGCACAGGAUUGAUAUGAGUAGGAAAAUACACACACAGUUGCUAUUUUGCAGGCAGCAUGAUUCCAUAGUGUAGUUAGAAUGGACAAUAACU